GCAUUGGUAGUUCAUUGGUAGAAUUCUUGCCUUCCAUGCAGGGGUUCCAGGUUCAAUUCCCAGCCAGUUCU
rnacentral:tRNA from 1 species